rnacentral:tRNA from 1 species
GGACGGGUAGCUCAGUUGGUAGAGCGGCGCUCUUACACGGCGCGGGCCGCAGGUUCGAGUCCUGUCCCGUCCA